CAAGCAUUCAUUCAGACACCAGAGCUGCUCCUUGAAUAGAGAGUGGGGCCCUCUGAACGCAUUUGCUGCCGAAACUCCUGGGAAUCAACUGGGAACACAAGAAUUCAGGAAGAGCAAUGGCCAGUUGAGUCACCACAGGAGCACACAGUCCUGAGAACGAAGGGAAAGGAACAUCAGCAAGUUUAGGGUGAAAAUGACAAUGA